rnacentral:rRNA from 15 species
CGAACGGCAGCACGGGGGCAACCCUGGUGGCGAGUGGCGAACGGGUGAGUAAUACAUCGGAACGUGCCCAAUCGUGGGGGAUAACGCAGCGAAAGCUGUGCUAAUACCGCAUACGAUCUACGGAUGAAAGCAGGGGAUCGCAAGACCUUGCGCGAAUGGAGCGGCCGAUGGCAGAUUAGGUAGUUGGUGAGGUAAAGGCUCACCAAGCCUUCGAUCUGUAGCUGGUCUGAGAGGACGACCAGCCACACUGGGACUGAGACACGGCCCAGACUCCUACGGGAGGCAGCAGUGGGGAAUAUUGCACAAUGGGCGCAAGCCUGAUGCAGCAACGCCGCGUGAGGGAUGACGGCCUUCGGGUUGUAAACCUCUUUUAGCAGGGAAGAAGCGAAAGUGACGGUACCUGCAGAAAAAGCGCCGGCUAACUACGUGCCAGCAGCCGCGGUAAUACGUAGGGUGCAAGCGUUAAUCGGAAUUACUGGGCGUAAAGCGUGCGCAGGCGGUGAUGUAAGACAGUUGUGAAAUCCCCGGGCUCAACCUGGGAACUGCAUCUGUGACUGCAUCGCUGGAGUACGGCAGAGGGGGAUGGAAUUCCGCGUGUAGCAGUGAAAUGCGUAGAUAUCGUGAGGAACACCAGAGGCGAAGGCGGUUACCUGGACAAUUACUGACGCUCAGGCACGAAAGCGUGGGGAGCAAAAGGGAUUAGAUACCCCUGUAGUCCACGCCCUAAACGGUGCACACUAGGUCUUGGCGGAUUUGACCCCACCAGGGCCCAAGCUAACGCGUUAAGUGUGCCGCCUGAGGACUACGGUCGCAAGACUAAAACUCAAAGGAAUUGACGG